UAUGAUGCGCCGACGGUUCAAGCUCACGCACCAUCUAUCGAUGAUCUGAUGAUGAUAUAACGUAUGGUUAACGGUGUCCAGUAAUUUCGCAGUUAGGGAACAACUAUAGGUGCCACAGACUGAUAAUCAAAUUUCAAACAAGUACUAUAACAUGUUGGUGAUUCAAAUUUUGAGAAUCUGAGCAUCACUAUACCAUGACACGUGCAGUCUCUUUCUCUCCCUCCCUCUCUCCCCUCCCUUUCCCCCACGUGAACUGAUUCUGAGGCUGGGCCCG
rnacentral:lncRNA from 1 species